rnacentral:lncRNA from 1 species
AGCUGAUGACACCUGUCAAAGCGCGUUUCGUUGCACGACGUAGUUGUUAACUAAAAUCCUAAAAUCUGAUAAGUUAAACGUAACUAUAAAGCAACGGCUUUAUAGGUGCCUACGUUAUAAUCGUAACGUACACAUAGCACUAAAGUUAAAUUUGUAGAAUUGCGCCCCUGGACACUCAUUGAUGUAGAACGCUCGAAGCUUAGGUAUAUCAGAAUUCUUUUAGAGAGUGUAUCUGCAGAAGCAUGCAAGUGCCAGCGCUGAUCCAUACGGUUGAAAACCAGAUUACUUGUUGCAAUGCUGAGAUAAGGAAUUAAGCUUUGAAAUAUUCCACUCUCAAUUAAUAAAAGGAAACUGUUACCAAAAUUAGUUGAGUUUGAUUCAUAUUAUGCUUUAAGCAUUUGCUAUUAAUUUCGUUUGUAAUAAUUUAAAUAAUUUUGCAAUGGGGUGUCAAAUUAGAUGUGAACGGUGGCUGGUCCAAGCGAUCUGUAACUAUGUAAACAUGAUUGCUAGGUAGGUUGGUUCCGAGUCUAAUAGGAAUACCUACCUUUACUUAACACAUUAGUAGUGCACUAAACUGUUAGUGCUCUGUUGUCAUCGAGAUUAAAUGUAAUUCCCCUAGUAGGUAGUACAAUUUUUAGAAUAGUUAACGAUACAACAUGAGUAAACGAGAUAUCUUUUCCGUCAGGAGAGCUGCGUUUCGACCGCUUAAGUUUUAAACAUUGUACCUAUAAUAGGUAUACUGGCACCUAGACACGUUGAAAAGCAGAUUGGAAAUACAAAGGUAUUUCAUUUGUAGACACAAUUUACCACUUAGGUACAACCGUAUAAAUUAUUGUGUUAUGUUGUUGUGUUGUUAUCAAUAAAAAAAAAAACUUCUGAACUGUAAUUCUACUUUUAGUCAUUAUGUAUGUGUAGGUACUGGCAGAAAUCUGCUAGUUCACGGGCCCACUGCGGAAGUCAACCGGGUACGUACGUUUGUGUGAUCAUAAUUACUAUGUAUUUAUGUACAUGUUUGAAAAACUAGAGAUCGUACGGCAGUACUAAAUAGUAGAACUAUUAUAUUUGUAUUCGUAAAGCUUUGCGAGGCACGUUCCACUGUUGCUAACAGUAAGGUCCGUGAGAAAUCGUAAAGUUGCGCGAAAGUAUUAAAUAGUAGAACUAUUAUAUUUAUAUUCGUAAAGCUUUGCGAGGCACGUUCCACUGUUGCUAACAGUAAGGUCCGUGAGAAAUCGUAAGGUUGCGCGAAAGUAUUAGAUAGUAGAACUAUCAUAUGUACCUAUAGACCUAUAUGCCUGAGAGGCGAGAACUUGUACAGCUUUACGAGGUGUGAACAGCUAGGUUCGCGAGGAUUCGUAUAUGUUGUGUGCAAGUCUUGUACAGCUUUACGAGGUGCGACCAGCAAGGUUCGCGAGGAUUCGUAUAUGUUGUGUGCAAGUCUUGUAUAGCUUUACGAGGUGCGACCAGCAAGGUUCGCGAGGAUUCGUAUAUGUUGUGUGCAAGUCUUGUACAGCUUUACGAGGUGCGACCAGCAAGGUUCGCGAGGAUUCGUAUAUGUUGUGUGCAAGUAUAAAAUGGCAGGGCCUGGCAUGGACUUGAAAGUCACGUUCCACUGUCGUGGAGUCCUUGAGUAACACUCAAAGGUUUGCUUUAAACGUCGCGGCGGUAACUUGUUGGUAAGGUUAUUGAAAGUGGUAAUGGUAAGGUAAUGUGUGAGUAAAAGGUAAAGGUAAUAAUUUCCAUAAAUCGUCAGUGUAAAACGAUUCGACUGUAGUGACAUUUCAAAGUUGUCCGGUUGUUUAUAAAACACUAGCAAACGCUACGCUAGUAAAAUGCACGUAAAAGUCAUUACGGGGCUUUAAUCGCAAGUACAAAGCGUCAGAAAAAACUUCAUUUCAUCAUUAUUGUUUCAACUCUGAAGCUAGAAAUAAAAUUCUUACAUUGGGACAAUGCAUUCUGAAACUGUUUUUCAAGUAAGUGAAGUAAAAUUAUUCAGUCAAAGCCCGACAAGGGCAAAGGCAAUACUUGGUCAUUUGAAGGAAAAGGGAAAGGAGUAGGUAGCUAGAGUAAAAUGUGAGGAAACCACUGGGAGUAUGAAGAUUUAUUAUAUUCCAUUAAUAGGCAGGUACAGUUUGGUUUUAUCUAUUUUUAUAUUCAUUUUGAUUUUGCCGCUAGUGGAUCUCAAGUGUUCGUAAUUGUUUCGAGCAUGAGAUACCUACCUGAAUAUGUCAUUGCCUAGAUAUAAAGUAGAUGAUUUCGAUAAUAAACUGUUUGAAUCGGACCAAGCAAGAUGAGUGCUCGUUGGCUGAACGUGCAGCAAUAUUUGAGACUGUUUGAUUCCACAUGGACUAACAGGCGGGAUAUCGGUGUCCAUCGACUGAUCACCAGACUGGUUAUUGAUGUCGGCAAAGUGACGGAGUUUAAUUUGUUUUUACUAAACAAAGGAAGGGAUGUAGUGUACUGUAUUAUCACCGAUAUCUGUCGUCUCGUUGUCGCAUAGACGCGGAGAGUGCACACUAUACUCUAUGGCCAGUUGGCGGGAAACCGGGGGAGUGUGUGGCACGGUGGUAAGACGUUAUGUGGGCAAGCGAGCCGAUAUCCUAAUUAUCGGAUGGUAAUUACAGAGACACAGGUAGGGCGAACACUACAAAUAGUACGGCUCCCUUAGUUAUAACGCUGACUAAAAUAGCCUACAUUAUGUUAAAACUAAGAAUGAGGUACUCACCGCGACCGAUGAAAAUCUCCUAAUACGAAAAUGUGCAUGCAUUCAUCGUAGUUUCGCGUGCAGCAAAGAAUUUAUCCAACACACUCUGCUGUGUUUGUAUAUGUAAAAUUAAUUAAGCUAAAAUUCCACUAAAAUUACGUUAUCUCAUUAUUGGCGAGUUUUCGUUGUUUAUUUUGUCUUCAUUUUUCAAUUACUUACCUACCUACAUAGUUGUUCAGCAUAGGUACCCGAGUGUUUAGUUUUGGGGGAAAUACUGAUAUCAAUCAUAAAAGACAUAUCUACAUCAAAUCAAUUUUUGUAUGUAUUCACGGUUGCAGUAGACACCAUAAAGAUAAGUUUUCAGAUUUCAUAUUCAGGAAUUACCUACUUACACACUCGUCGUUUCAGCCGAAAGAAGUCCAGACCUGAACAAAUGCUUCCUCCAUUUUUCUAGGUUUUCAGCCACUCGCAACCCGGUGCUUGCACUGCAUUUUCCCACGCUGCGUCAUAAUUAAGGGGUGUAGUCGCCACUCAAGAACUUUCUGCCCCUUUGGCCAUUUAUUCAGCGAUCUGUGUGUCCUCUCUGCUCAUUGCAACUACCUGCACACACUGCAAAUAUACAAAACACAUAUCAUUCUCUUUAAUUAUUACCUCUCAUAUACAUACUUAACU